rnacentral:rRNA from 1 species
GACGAACGCUGGCGGCGUGCUUAACACAUGCAAGUCGAACGGUAAGGCCCUUCGGGGUACACGAGUGGCGAACGGGUGAGUAACACGUGGGUGAUCUGCCCUGCACUUCGGGAUAAGCCUGGGAAACUGGGUCUAAUACUGAUAGGACCACUGCCUGCAUGGGUGGUGGUGGAAAGCUUUUGCGGUGUGGGAUGGGCCCGCGGCCUAUCAGCUUGUUGGUGGGGUGAUGGCCUACCAAGGCGACGACGGGUAGCCGGCCUGAGAGGGUGACCGGCCACACUGGGACUGAGAUACGGCCCAGACUCCUACGGGAGGCAGCAGUGGGGAAUAUUGCACAAUGGGCGCAAGCCUGAUGCAGCGACGCCGCGUGAGGGAUGACGGCCUUCGGGUUGUAAACCUCUUUCAGCACCGACGAAGCGCAAGUGACGGUAGGUGCAGAAGAAGGACCGGCCAACUACGUGCCAGCAGCCGCCGGAA